rnacentral:rRNA from 1 species
GACAGAAGGUGCAAGCGUUACUCGGAAUUACUGGGCGUAAAGCGUCUGUAGGUUUUUGACCACGUCUGGCGUGAAAUUUCGGGGGCUCAACCCCGUACCCAUGCUGGAAACGAGUCGGAUAGAGUCAUUCAGAGGCAUCUGGAAUGUCGUGUGUAGGGGUAAAAUCCGUAGAUACACGAUGGAACGCCAAAAGUGAAGACAGGAUGCUAGGAAUGUACUGACACUCAGAGACGAAAGCGUGGGGAGCAAAGGGG